rnacentral:rRNA from 1 species
GAGGAAUUUUCCGCAAUGGACGAAAGUCUGACGGAGCAACGCCGCGUGCAGGAUGAAGGUCUUCGGAUCGUAAACUGCUUUUACCGGGGAAGAGAAUGGACGGUACCUGGUGACUAAGUCCCGGCUAACUACCUGCCAGCAGCCGCGGUAAUACGUAGGGGGCGAGCGUUGUCCGGAUUUAUUGGGCGUAAAGGGCCCGCAGGCGGUUCGCCAAGUUUGGGGUGACAGCUCCUGGCUUAACCAGGAGAGUGCUGCAAAAACUGGUGGACUUGAGAGCGAGAGAGGGACAUGGAACUCCGGGUGGAGCAGUGAAAUGCGUAGAGAUCCGGAAGAACACCAAAGGCGAAGGCAGUGUCCUGGCUCGUUUCUGACGCUCAGGGGCGAAAGCUAGGGGAGCGAA